UUUUAAUAAUUACCUCAAUGGCUUUCGCCUCACACUUAUUAAUUAAUUUAUCCACUGGGUUCACCGCAAAGACCAACAAAAAUCACACAAUCCUCCAAGCAAACCUAAUUUUAAAGACUUGUUAAUAAUUUUUUUCCAUUUUUCACUAAUUUUCACACAAUUAUCACCUUUUAUUUAAAUUUGUAGUUCUUUUUUCAAUUUAAUAUCUUAAUAGUCAUGAAUAUUUUUCACUGAACUUCCAAUUUUCAGUAUGAACGUUUUUUCUCGUUCAGCACCAAUUUUCUAACUAUUAACCUCUCUUCGUUGGCUACUCUCUUUUAUAACCUUUUCAGUGCGCCGUUGUAGCUUUCCACUGAUGGACAUUUUGUUCAUUAGACACCAGUUAUCCUUAUCUAAAUUAAAGAAAUGGUCUCUGUCUAGUGAAACUUUCAUACUCAUAUUUGCCCAAAAAAAUUAAGAGUCACAAUUUUUCUCGCGACUGCUAUCUAAGAGUAUUUAACUCCACAUCGGCAACACCGUCUCUACUUUGCUUAAGUUCCAUUACCAAUUCCAUUUGGGUUAUCACUUCGUAGUGAAUGUCAUUCAUAGCCAUCUGACAACUGUCAUUGUUUUUGGCAUUAGUAUUUGGCGGUGGUAGUAUUAGCUUGCGUCGUUCCAAUUUAUUUUUAUAUUUCUACAAUUAAACCAUUUUAUAUUUAUUAAUUAUUUCUUUUUUUUUUCUUUUCAGCGGUUUUUCUGGUGGCGGAGUAUCGGAGCCGGCCAUAUUUCUCGUGAACACACAUCACUUUCCUUGGAAUGUAAUAUGGGCUCACUGCAAGAAUUUUGGCUGCCCCGACACUCUCCCACCGGUAAUGUAUUUGCCGAAAUAUAAGUCCUGGCCACCAUUCCCAGGCAAUACUAAACACCACGAGACAGAUCUUUUGCCAGCCACCAACCAACAUCACAGGCAUUUUAAUUAGCCUGCAUAUCAAGAACAAUUCUAACAUUACUAACAAGGCAUGGCUAACAAUGACAAGUGUUACCCGCAACAAGUGCCUACCAAAACCUAAAUAUUAACCCCUUACUAACAUCUAGCCCUUCCUAGCUUCCCCAUCUUUAAAGGCACAUCGGAAGCUAGGAAUAAUUUAAUUCACCCGUGGUUUGGAGACCGCCACGAAGGCAAAAAUGGUCUCCCCUAAAAAACCCUCCACGCAAAAUUUUUUUUUGGGUGUCCAGGUGCGGACUUGGGCAUUUCGAGGGCCUCGCAACAAAACUCCAUCACUGGCAAAAACUGCCGCCAGAGAUGGUGUGCUGAGGGCCUAUGGAUUCGUGGCUACAUUUGUUUGGAUCAAGUCCAACGUGGGGAAUUCUCACGCCCUGAGAUGAGCCGGGCAAUCAGAUUAGGGAAGUAUUAAUAGGUAUUUGUAAUUGAAUGUUCCGAUACUUGGUGACCGGUUUGUUUCUUUCCAGGGCUGGAUUUUCGGACAUCACUUCUGGGCCUAUCAUUUGGACCUACAGGAACUAGGUUUGGAUUUGUAACGGACCAAGGGUUUUGGAUCUUAUUUUCCAAUAUUCUAUUCACUCCAAGAUUUCCAAGAGUAGGCACUGCACUGGCCUGAGGGUCACCACCGACAGCCCCUUGCAGAUACACUGGACCCAGGGAAUUUGUUACCGGAGAGCUAACGUUAAUGGUUUGGGACAUAUCCCUAAUUUGACCCUGAUCGUUGGUAUUUCCCUCCGCCAUUUCAGAUUUUGGACCGAGUGGCUAUAUUCAUUCCCAAUGAUGCUGUGACGAUUUAAACUAUAUGUGGAGGAAUUUCGGACGAGAUGUGAUGUGUGCAGUUGCAAUUGGUCUUCCAAAAAGGUAUGUUUAGGUGGUGAUGCAUAGAACAACUUUAAACACAAUAUUAACAAAAAUCCC